AUGCAGACACUCCAUUUUUCCAACAAGACUUACAGCAAGAUAUUGCACAUACCUUCCCUUGGCCUUGCUCUUGUGCUGCUGAUAUGCUUGGCCUCUCCUACUAGUUCUUGCACGGAGCAGGAGAAGGGCUCCCUUCUCCAAUUCCUCGGCGGGCUCUCACAAGAUGGUGGCCUCGCUGCCUCAUGGCAGAAUGGCUCGGAUUGCUGCCAGUGGGAAGGGAUCACCUGCAGCACAGAUGGGAUUGUUACAGAUGUCCUGCUGGCUUCUAGGAGUCUUCAGGGGCACAUCACACCUUCUCUUGGGAACCUCACUGGAUUGCUGCGCCUCAACCUGUCAAACAAUCUGCUAUCUGGUGGUCUACCGCAGGAACUGGUAUCCUCCAGCAGCAUCCUCAUUGUAGACGUCAGCUUUAACCGUCUCGGAGGAGACCUGCACAAGUUGUCGCCCACUCAUGCCCGGCCACUGAAGGUACUGAACAUCUCGAGCAAUUUGUUUACAGGACAGUUUCCAUCCUCCACAUGGCAGGGGAUGAAAAAUCUGGUUGCAUUCAAUGCCAGCAACAACAGCUUUACUGGGCAGCUACCAACUCAUUUCUGUGCCAGCUCGCCAUCCUUGGCAGUGCUUGAACUCUGCUACAAUCAAUUCAGAGGGAGCAUUCCCCCUGAACUUGGUAGCUGCUACAUGCUCAGAGUGCUCAAGGUUGGCCACAACAACCUCAGUGGGACUCUCCCAGAUGAACUCUUCAAUGCUACCUUGUUAGAAUACGUCUCCUUCCCCGGGAACAGGUUAGAAGGAAAACUUCAAGGCUCACAUAUUGUCAAACUCAGUAAUCUGGGUACUCUUCAUCUUGGAGAGAACAACAUCAGUGGCGAGAUUCCGGAGUCUAUAGGUCAUCUCAAGAGAUUGGAGGAACUCCAUUUAAACAACAACCUCAUGUAUGGGGAGCUGCCAUCGAGUCUGAUCAACUGCACAAAUCUCAUAAGCAUUGACUUCAAGAACAACAAUUUCAGCGGAGAACUCGCUAAGGUCAAUUUCUCCAACCUACCCAAUCUAAAAUCUUUAGAUCUUAUGCACAACAGCUUCAGUGGCCAAAUUCCGGAAAGCAUCUACUCAUGUAGUAAUCUAACUGCACUGCGGCUAUCUUCCAAUAAGUUCGAUGGCCAGCUGUCAGAAAAAAUAGGCAAUCUGAAGUCCCUCUCAUUCCUAUCACUUGCUAACAACAGUCUUACAAAUAUUACAAGAGCACUUCAUAUACUUAGGAGCUCCAAGAAUCUCACUACCCUUCUUAUUGGGCUCAACUUCGUGAAUGAGACCAUGCCAGAUGAUGACAGCAUUGCUGGUUUUGAGAAUCUUCAGGUUUUUAGUGUCGAACGAUGCGGAUUAUUUGGACAAAUGCCUCGUUGGAUAUCGAAGCUAGAAAAUUUACAAAUAUUAAUGUUGUCUGACAAUCAACUCACUGGAUCAAUACCAGCCUGGAUCAAAACCCUAAGCAACCUGUUUUAUCUGGACAUAUCAAACAACAGCCUCACAGGGGGAGUUCCAAAAGCCCUUAUGGAUAUGCCAAUGCUAAAGUCAGAUAAUAGUGAAGCCCAUUUAGACCCAAGGGUAUUUGAGCUACCUGUUUAUAUUGGUCCAUCACGACAAUACCGUGUACCUAUUGCUUUUCGUAAUGUGCUGGAUCUAAGCAAUAACAAAUUCACCGGUGAAUUCCCCCUCGAGAUUGGUCAGUUGAAAUCCCUCCUUUCACUCAAUUUUAGCUUCAACCACUUGACAGGACAGAUCCCACAAUCAAUAUGCAACCUCACAAACCUGCAGCUGUUAGAUUUGUCGAGCAACAAUCUAACAGGUGGAAUCCCAGGUGCAUUGAAUAGACUGAACUUCCUUUCAGCAUUCAAUAUUUCAAACAAUGGUCUAGAAGGGCCUAUUCCAUCUGGAGGCCAGUUUAAUACAUUUCAGAAUUCUAGUUUCAUUGGGAAUCCAAAGCUGUGUGGCUCUACUCUCACUCACAAAUGUUAUUCAGAUUCAAUACCUCCAUCCCCCAGAAAAAAACGAGAUAUGAAGGCUAUUUUUGCAAUUGCAUUUGGCGUGUUCUUCGGAGGCAUUGCUAUUCUUUUGUUGCUGGUGCGUCUCCUUAUCUCAAUCCAGAAGAAGGGUUUUAUGGCAAAACACAGAAGAGGGAGUAAUGAGGAUGUUGAAGCAACUUCAUUCUACUCCAGUUCAGAGGAAACAUAG
rnacentral:rRNA from 1 species